rnacentral:lncRNA from 1 species
AUAUCACCUAACCACAAAAGAAAAAAAGAAUAUGAUAUUUAUCUGCAAAAAAGGUGCAUUUUAGAAAGUAGGAUAUAUUCUCAGGAAGUACCAUACAACUUGGAUGGUCUAGCAUGAAAAUGCAACCAUUAUGCAGAUUCUUGACAACCAUUAUAAAUACCAGACUCUGCAUAAACUUUAAAAAAAUAUAGCGAAUCUAAAUCAUCUUCAUAGUUUCGUUAGUCUAGAGUUCCCCUAUUGCCACUUCAUAUUAUAAAUUUAACUAUGUCUUCCUGUACCAACUGUGACUGCUUUGACAAGGCCAACUGCACCACUGAGGAGACUAUUGUGAUGGAGGUUCCUGCAGCUGAAAAUAAUGGCAACUGCAAGUGUGGUGCUAACUGCAGCUGCACCAACUGCACAUGUGGUCACUAGAAUAUGAUGAUGUAACCGGAACUCACUGGUGUCCAGUAUGCGAUAGCUAAUGUUAGUCUAUGGUUCAAUAAAACUGUCACACAUAUGUGGCUAUGGUCCAUAACUAUAUAAAUAUACUUACUGUUGUAACGUAGUUUGAUCUGUUUGUUUUAUGCACGCGUUUAUUACAAAAACAAAAACAAAAAAAAAAAAAAAAAAAAAAAAAAAAAAAACUCACAAGAACUGCUGAGGGUAUCCAAUGUUGACAC